AAGAAAGGCAGAACACCCACCUUUGUCUCCAACUUUGUCUCCAAUUCAUUUGCGGUACAUAGGUCCCAAAUAUCAAAUAGUUUUCUUCAGUUACUUAAGCCUGUUUUUCUUUAAAAACUACGGCGAUUGGUGGAGAAAUGUAUCUCUUACUUCCCCAGUAAAGUCUUAAGUUAGACUGUGCCGCUUCCCGGCUCAGCCCUCUUCCCUCCCCUCAGCAAAGCGGAAACAGCGGCCUGGAGGAGGGACAAGAAGAAGGACCCGGAAAAGUCCAUUCCUAAAGCUAAAAAUUAGAACAGAUUUAAGGUGAAUGAAAAAUAAAGAUCAAAGAUGGAAGAGAGCAAUUUAAGACUUUGGGAGCUUCAAAAGGUUGAGAAGCUCCCAGAGCUCCAGCAAUUGGAGCUCAUAGCAGACUCUUCUGGAAGCAGCAUCUAAAUUAGGUGAGGAUCCAGUCCUGAGGCACAAUCUUUUACUGCAAUUGAGACACAGCGUGCUUGAAAGAAAAAGGAGCAACUUAUCCAUCCCUUAAUUGUGCCACAUGCAGAAGGAACUUAGAAGGAGGAAUGCUUUGAAUCUUCAGCUUUAACUUUGAGUCCAUGAUCCACAUACAGGGUAUCUUCUGACUAUACAUACUGUUACCAUCUUGGAAUGAGACAAAUACACUGAUAAUUAAAUAUGAAUGCAG